rnacentral:misc_RNA from 1 species
UUGUUUCGAUUUACUCGUAAACUCCGACGCAAAGAUGCAGUGUUUGAUGGUCCUCCGGGGGCGCCCGGCAGGGUCGCCCCCGAAGCAACGGGAUAGUGUUCACAAAGGGUUGGAGGUCGGACCCGGAGGCCCUCACUCGGUAAUGAUCCCUCCGCAGGUUCACCUACGGAGA